CCAGUCGGUCGGGCAGCCGCUUCGGUGUCGCGAAAGCAAUCCGAGGAGGAAAGUCCGGGCUCCAUGAAAGCACGGUGCCGGGUAACACCCGGCGGAGGCGACUCUAGGGAAAGUGCCACAGAAAGCAAACCGCCUGAUCUUGUGUCAGGUAAGGGUGAAAGGGUGAGGUAAGAGCUCACCGCGCGACCAGCAAUGGAAGCGGCAGGGUAAACCCCACCGGGAGCAAGACCGAAUAGGGACAGUGCGGUUUCGCCAGCCUGCUUUCAGGCCAGCUGUCCGGGUAGGUUGCUUGAGGCAUGCAGCAAUGUAUGUCCCAGAUGAAUGGUUGCCGCGCAAGAUUUCUUGCCAUACAAAACCCGGCUUACAGACCGACUGGUGCU
rnacentral:RNase_P_RNA from 1 species